CUGUUUAUUUGUUAUUGUUGUUAGUGGAUUAAAUGAUAACAAUCUUAUCUCUGAACUAUAAAAUAACUAUUAUUUAGCAAAUUCUUUAACUUUUUCUUAAUUAAAUGAUAAAAAGAAUCAUGUCGGAUGUUGAUGUAAAAGCCGGUAUUCAACAUAUUCUGAAAAGAAUUGAUGUCGCUUUUGAACAACGGCCCAAGGAGUUAAAGGGUGACAAGCCGCUCUUGGUGGCUGUUAGUAAAACUAAACCCGUAGAAAUGAUAAUCGAUGCCUAUUCAGUGGGUCAACGUCAUUUUGGGGAGAAUUAUAUACAGGAAUUAGUAGAAAAAGGCAAUCAUCCUGAUAUUUUGUCACAGUGUCCCGAUAUAAAGUGGCAUUUUAUUGGUCAUUUACAAAGUAACAAAAUAAAUAAGAUAAUUAAACUACCCAAUUUAUAUAUGAUCGAAACUGUGGACAGUCAGAAAUUGGCCAAUCAUUUAAAUAACGCCUGGGAAAAGGUAGAAAUUGAAAAUAAACAACCCUUGCAAGUGCUCAUACAAAUAAAUACCAGCGGUGAAGAGGCUAAAAAUGGUGUACCACCAAGUGAAGCUUCUGCUUUGUUUAAAUUUAUUAAAGAAAAUCUUAAACAACUUGAUGUUAAGGGUGUUAUGACCAUUGGAGCUUUUGGCUUCGACUAUAGUCAAGGACCAAAUCCAGAUUUUGUUAAACUAAUGGAAGUGCACAAGCAAAUUUGCCAAGAGAAUCAAUUGAAUGAGGCUGAAUUACAGGUGUCGAUGGGCAUGUCGGAUGAUUUUGAAAGAGCGAUUGAAAUGGGUAGUACUAUUGUGCGUGUAGGUAGUUCUAUUUUUGGUUAUCGGGCUAAAAAGACCACUACUGCUUAAGUCAUCUACGAAUGGUACGAUCUUAUACAGCGAGUAAAUUGUAUACUAAAUACAAAAAUCUAAAUUGUAUUUUAUUAUUAUUGUUGUUGCUUUUAGCUGUUGUAUAUAUGUGAAAAUGAAAUUUAGGACAAUACUACAUGAUGAUUGUUUUUCCCUCUACUAGAUGACGCAGUUUGAUUAUUGAACAUGUAUUUGUAUAUGAUUAAGUUUAUACACACAUUUAAAUAAAUUUACCUAUAUACUAAGUUGAACAAAAAAAAA